GACGAACGCUGGCGGCGUGCUUAACACAUGCAAGUCGAACGGAAAGGCUCUGCUUUCCGGGUAUUCUCGAGUGGCGAACGUGUGUGUAACGUGGGUGAGAUCUGCUCUACACUUCGGUAUAACUGGUGGAAACUGUGUCUUAUACCGUAUAGGCCCUCCUUUUGGUUGUGGUUGGAUAGAUUUUUUGGUGGGGGAUGGGCUUGCGGCCUGUUAGCUUGUUGGUGGGGUAAUGGCCUACCAAGGCCGGGACGGGUAGGCGGCCGGAGGGGGUGGUGGGCCAAAUUGGGACUGAGAUAGGCCCAAGACUCAUAGGGGGGGAAGAAGGGGGGAAUAUUGAAAAAUGGGGGAAAGCCUAAUGAAGCAAGGCCGCGUGGGGGAUGACGGCCUUCGGGUUGUAAACCCCUUUCGCAAGGGACGAAGCGUGAGUGACGGUACCUAGAGAAGAAGCACCGGCUAACUACGUG
rnacentral:rRNA from 1 species